UACGUAGGAGGCGAGCGUUGUCCGGAGUUACUGGGCGUAAAGCGCACGCAGGCGGUCAGAUCAGUCUGGAGUGACAGUCGUCGGCUUAACCGACGAAGUGUUCUGGAAACUGUCUGACUUGAGGGCUUCAGAGGGACACGGAAUUCCGGGUGGAGUGGUGAAAUGCGUAGAUAUCCGGAGGAACACCAAUGGCGAAGGCAGUGUCCUGGGAAGUACC
rnacentral:rRNA from 1 species